rnacentral:rRNA from 1 species
UCGCCCUACGGGGGGCAGCAGUAGGGAAUAUUGCGCAAUGGGCGAAAGCCUGACGCAGCGACGCCGCGUGUGGGAUGAAGGUCUUCGGAUCGUAAACCUCUGUCAGCAGGGAAGAACGGUCACUGUGCUAAUCAGCAGUGAAUUGACGGUACCUGAAAAGGAAGCACCGGCUAACUCCGUGCCAGCAGCCGCGGUAAUACGGAGGGUGCGAGCGUUAAUCGGAAUUACUGGGCGUAAAGCGCUCGCAGGCGGUAUGUUAAGUC